AAUAAAUAUAGAGACACCGUCGUAUAAUUUCGGGAAUAUGGUCCGAACGUUUCUACCAGGCUGCCGUAAAUGGCCUGACUACGUUGGU
rnacentral:ncRNA from 1 species